rnacentral:rRNA from 1 species
UACAGAGGUGGCAAGCGUUGUUCGGAAUUACUGGGCGUAAAGGGCGCGUAGGCGGCCUUCUAAGUCAGACGUGAAAUCCCCAGGCUUAACUUGGGAACUGCGUCUGAUACUGGGAGGCUUGAGUGCGGGAGAGGGAUGUGGAAUUCCAGGUGUAGCGGUGAAAUGCGUAGAUAUCUGGAGGAACACCGGUGGCGAAGGCGGCAUCCUGGACCAUUACUGACACUGAAAAGCGAAAGCCAGGGGAGCAAACGGG